AACGAACGCUGGCGGCAGGCCUAACACAUGCAAGUCGAGCGAGGACUUCGGUCCUAGCGGCGGACGGGUGAGUAACGCGUGGGAACGUGCCCUUUGCUUCGGAAUAGCCCUGGGAAACUGGGAGUAAUACCGGAUGAGCCCUUUGGGGGAAAGAUUUAUCGGCGAAGGAUCGGCCCGCGUUGGAUUAGGUAGUUGGUGGGGUAAUGGCCUACCAAGCCGACGAUCCAUAGCUGGUUUGAGAGGAUGAUCAGCCACACUGGGACUGAGACACGGCCCAGACUCCUACGGGAGGCAGCAGUGGGGAAUCUUAGACAAUGGGGGAAACCCUGAUCUAGCCAUGCCGCGUGAGCGGUGAAGGCCUUAGGGUUGUAAAGCUCUUUCAGCUGGGAAGAUAAUGACGGUACCAGCAGAAGAAGCCCCGGCUAACUCCGU
rnacentral:rRNA from 1 species